rnacentral:rRNA from 1 species
GUAGUCUCGCACAGAUGCAUAUCAAUAAGCGGAGGAAAAGAAACUAACAAGGAUUCCCCUAGUAACGGCGAGUGAAGCGGGAAGAGCUCAAAUUUGAAAUCUUAAAGGGUUUCCCUUUACGAAUUGUAGUUUAAAGAAGUGUUUUCUGUUGAGGUUUUGGUAAAAGUUCUUUGGAAUAGGACAUCAUAGAGGGUGAGAAUCCCGUAUUUGGUACCUUUACUUUCUAGCUUUGUGAUACACUUUCAAAGAGUCGGAUUGUUUGGGAAUGCAGUCCAAAAUGGGUGGUAAAUUUCAUCUAAAGCUAAAUAUUGGCGAGAGACCGAUAGCGAACAAGUACCGUGAGGGAAAGAUGAAAAGAACUUUGAAAAGAGAGUUAAACAGUACGUGAAAUUGUCAAAAGGGAAGCGUUUGACACCAGUGUUGUUUUUCUGAAAAUCAAUUAAAGAACUGUUUAUGCUAAGCUGUUUAGACUUUAUCAGCUAUCUGUUUAGUUUUGAGCUUUUCUUUAAUGCACUUUUCAGUUAACAAGUCAACAUCAAUUUCUUUUGCUGUAAAAAAGCUUGAGGAAGGUGGCUUGAGAUUCGUCUUAAGUGUUUAUAGCCUCUUGCCUAUGCAGUCGGAGAGAUUGAGGUCUGCAGCGUAGAUCCUUCGGGGCUAAAUGCAUUUGUGCUAAGUUAUAGCAUUUUAUAGACAACUUGUUGACUAUGAUUUGUCUUGUAGCUUACUCGCUUAUGUUAUUUUACCUACGCUUAGGAUGUUGAACUCUAUCACACACAG